CGAGAAAACCCCUGGUUGAGCGACGGUGCUUUGACAUCUGAGAAGCUCGCAGGAGGAUCCCAUCACUGCCUGUUAAAUACAGUGGUGAUCAGGACCUCUCCUUGGGUCUGAAGACUCCAAGCUGGGAGUCUUGAGAUAAUAUCCAAAAAUCAAGGUAAAUACAAUCGUUUUUUUGUUUGUUUGUUUUUGAAAAUAGUAAAAAAGUGUUUCACAUGGUAAAUUGGUUUGUCUUUUCGUCAAUUUCUACCCUCAUUUUGAACCCAUCUGUUUCAUCGGUUCCUGCUUUUAUUUGGCACUGAUUAACAAAUCAGUUUGUACCAGUGUAGCAGCUUGUUUAUUCAUUUUCAAGUAUUUUUUUUUUAAAUUAUGAAGUUAGUCAUCAGAAUUCUAAAACAUUCACAAGUAUUUUGAUGCAUUACUGUUUCGAUUUACUUUAGUUCUGAUCCAGAGUUAAACUAGUUGACUUUGGCAAAUACUAUAGAUUAUGACUUCUUAUUAAAUAAAACUAUUUUUUUUAACCCACCGUUAGUCAAGGAUAAUUACUAAGGUCAUAAACACACAUUUCCUUAGAGAAGACUAUGAAUCUAAAAUACAAAAAUUACUUCCUCAUACCAAAGUCACUUGGCAACCAGGAAUUGCUGUGCUGGUAUGAGAUUGAUUUAAAUGUUAAGCCUUGAAAAGGCAUGUAUGACCUACAAAGGAGAAAAAUAACAAGCAUCCAUUGGGAUUAUAACCAUUUUUUUUUAUCUCACUGGCAGAUUGUCACCCCAAGCAAUGGUGGAGGUUGAAAGUCUCUGUCAUUGUUAUUUUGUGGGUUUCAAACAAAAAGGUUUUUGACUCUAGAUUAUAACUAAACUAAAAGUUGACGUGGGCAAAAACCUUUGGCAUCACAUGGCAAAAAUGCCAUAAGAUAUAAUUUGCUUUGAUUAGAUGCUGUAGUCAUAUUUUAAGAGCUAAAUCAAUUUAGAAUAUUUCAUCACUCCCACAAGGAAAUGAACCAACCCCAACAGAACCACACAGUAAAAUGAAAAACAGAUGUAAUGUAACAUGUUCGGAAAUGAAAUAAAUUUGUAGGUGAGAUUUGAUCAUUUCUGACUCACCGUCUCCCUAAUUAGUCAAAACAGUCAAUUAUAAGGAAAAAGAAACUGCUACUAUUGCUAGGUACAUGUUUUUGUUUGUGUUUUUUUUUUACACUUAUAUCACAGAAGUAGGCUUGCGCAAAAUGGUGCUGAGGUGAACUAACCCAGAGAUAUACGAAAUGACAGCAUUCACCGUAGGACAACAAGUACAGACACCUCCAGAAGAAACUCUUGACAUUGAAAUAUGAAUCCCCCUUUUACCCAGCUCGUCUUGUUCACAUAUAGUAUGUGUGACCUAAUUAAUAAUAUGUGUUGCGGAAUAAGCGAGAAAGUAACAGGCUGGUGUUUGCUAUAGCAUUUCUGACGCCUUAACAGUUGAGCUAUUACUGCUGUAACGUCAAUGCAUUGUGCAGAUAAGGAGUAGUCAUAGUACUGAAUAAUGCUUAAGCUCAUCUGACCUGCAAGUGGAGGCAGUCACAGUUCGCAGUUCACAGACAUUUAUAGGAGAAGUGAUGCAAACAGAACAUGUCGUUCUAGUCCACCACAUUGUUGCCGCCCGUCUGACUCCUCCUCAACAGAAGGAGGCUUUUUAAAAAUGCUACCUGGGAGGCAUUUUGCUGCCUGUGUUUAGUCAGCACAAACAAAGAAAAGCAGGCAACCAUCUCAUAACAGGCUAAUCUUUUUAUUCAACAUUAGUACCAAAAACCUUAAAAUGCCUGUGAGACUGCCUCUACUGAACAUUCAGAGGGUACAACACAAUUGAUAAAGAUAACGGUGAGGCUUUUCAAAGGUCCAACACUUAGGUCUAUAAUAGUAUAUGUAAAAUCAAAUGGUCACGAUUAUUAAGUUCUGAAUAUGUAAUAUCUAAAUGUCUGAUAUUGGAGUUUUGGGUGGGUGGGAGGGACGGACAGAUGGAUGGUUUUAGGCAAUGGGGCUGGUUAAAAAUACGGAAAUACAAAAAUAUUUCAUCAUCUCCUUUUUUUUCUCAGAACUUUUCCAGAAAUGGACUAUUUUCCAGGCUGCUAGGCAUGCCGCAAAACUGACUUGUGGGAAUGACCACAAAUUGGGAGAGUUGUUUUAUUUCCUUGAGACCAGUCUUCAAACCAGAAUUUGUGCAUAACAGAAGAUAAAAUGGUUUGUAACAGAUCAGUCCUAAGAAGUGAUGCAUGCAUUAAACAAAGGAGUUGAUUUUCACAAAGAAAUAAAUUACGCAAAUUUCUUAUCAGCGUGGCAGAAGUUCUAAUUAAAAGACACAUUGGAACAGUUUGCAGGAUGGGAUGUUGACCAAAUGUUUUGUAUGUACAUAAGACUUGAUAUGUGGAAAAUGCCUCUCUUUAAAAAAGUAUUACUGUAUAAAAUGCAUGUGUACGACACAAUAAAUUUGACCAAAUUGAUUAUAAUCAGGCUGUUUUGUUGUGUUUAUUUAUUUGCCCCAGUUAUACAACACAAAAUGCCCUGCAAGACAAAUAAAGCUUGGAGGGGGCUAUUAAAUAAGGAAUUCUGACCAGGUCUGAGCUGUUUUUAGCUAAUAAGUAACAGAAUAAUCUCUGUGUCCAACGGUCUACAGUAAUGGAGGUCAGAAGCUAUAAUAUAAUGUAAUGUAUUUUCCUUUAUAUACAAAUAAUAAAGUGUUUAUUCUAUUUUCUCAAUAUUUUUUAUAAUUUUAAUCAAAAAUGCCCCCAUCUGUCACGUAAGUGCAUCGUGCCUAGAGCUCAGUCCAGGCCUGUAUGAAACAUUUUUAUGCAGAGGUGUUUUGAAAAAGCUCUGUCUCCAUGGCACCACAUCUUUCUGCUUUUGUUACUAUAUUAAGCCUAUGAAAGCGUUGUGCGCAUGCGCCCCGCGUGCCUAUCAGAGGCCUCCAGAACAGUCUGGAACUCUCGGGAGGAGGCGUCAAGAAUCUCUCAGUCACUCCAGCACCCUCACUGCAGUCGGCUGCGUUCGGAUACCGUCUUUCUCAAACCUCCUGAAUCCGUCCUGAUGUGGAACUUUAUAUCAUUAUAAAUCCAUUAAACCCAUGGGAGUACAAUUUCCUAUUUUGGUGGAUCGACCAGACACCAAAACGCAAAUGUCGUCAUCUGUGGUUCUCAGACUUGGAUUACUAUGGAUACUGGACCGUCAGGCUCAUAUUGUUCCCCUUGUAAAUUUUUUUGAGAAGGAACUGGAGUGAUAUAUCAGAAACCCUCUCUUGGAAUAUGUCUCUAUCUGUCCUCAGCUCUAAAUAAAGAAGUCUUCAUACCGACGACAAAAUGUGGAUUUCAUUCGAUGUGGGUGUCAGAACAUAAAUCACGAAAAGACGACAAGCUUUAAAACGUGUUGCAAAGACUAGAACGAAACCUUAAUGUGUGUUGGGUGUUAAAACAAUGUUUGGUGAAACUAGCCAAAGAAAAUGUGGAUUCAUUACUGUGAAAAUACGUACAAAGUCCACACAAAAAAAAA